rnacentral:rRNA from 1 species
UACGGAGGGUGCAAACGUUGCUCGGAAUCAUUGGGCGUAAAGCGCACGUAGGCGGCCUGCCAAGUUGAAUGUGAAAGCCCUGGGCUCAACCCAGGAAGUGCAUCCAAAACUGGCAGGCUUGAGUAUCGGAGGGGCUCAGAGAAUUCCCGGUGUAGCGGUGAAAUGCGUAGAUAUCGGGAGGAAUACCAGUGGCGAAGGCGCUGAGCUGGACGGUUACUGACGCUGAGGUGCGAAAGCGUGGGGAGCAAACAGG